rnacentral:rRNA from 1 species
GUGGUGAAGAAGGCCUUAUGGUGUAAGGCACUAUAUGCGAGAGGAGCUACUGAAUAAUACCUAAGAUCUGACGUUACUCCGCAAAUUAGCGCCAGGCUAACUCUGUGCCAGCAGCCGCGGUAAUACAGAGGGUGCGAGCGUUAAUCGGAUUUACUGGGCGUAAAGCGUGCGUAGGCGGCUUAUUAAGUCGGAUGUGAAAUCCCCGAGCUUAACUUGGGAAUUGCAUUCGAUACUGGUGAGCUAGAGUAUGGGAGAGGAUGGUAGAAUUCCAGGUGUAGCGGUGAGAUGCGUAGAGAUCUGGAGGAAUACCGAUGGCGAAGGCAGCCAUCUGGCCUAAUACUGACGCUGAGGUACGAAAGCAUGGGGAGCAAACAGGAUUAGAUACCCUGGUAGUCCAUGCCGUAAACGAUGUCUACUAGCCGUUGGGGCCUUUGAGGCUUUAGUGGCGCAGCUAACGCGAUAAGUAGACCGCCUGGGGAGUACGGUCGCAAGACUAAAAACUCAAAUGAAUUGACGGGGGCCCGCACAAGCGGUGGAGCAUGUGGUUUAAUUCGAUGCAACGCGAAGAACCUUUACUGGGCUUUGACUACUAGAAACUUCCAGAGAUGGAUUGGUGCCUUCGGGAAUCAGAUACGGGUGCGGGUGGUCGUCGGCCGCUCGUGCUCGGGAGACUGUUGGGGUAAGUCC